CGCAGUCCCUACCUGAUGACGCCAUACUGCUGCAUGGAGGGAAGAAGCUCCGUCCAGCGGGCAGUGCUCAGAUCCUCACACUGAAUGUCCAGACUCAUGGAUGGACCUUCCCUACGGGGGCAGUCGCCGAGUGAGACCUCUCCAAGUGGGGACCUGAGCCACCCCUUCGCAUGGCUCCCUUCCCAAGGAAGCAGACUUGAAGCCAGGCAGUCAAGGGAAAUGAAGCUGUGACCAUUAAAAACCACCGGAAGAACCAAAA